CCUACGGGAGGCAGCAGUAGGGAAUCUUACACAAUGGGCGAAAGCCUGAUGGAGCAAAGACGCGUGGGUGAAGAAGGUCUUCGGAUCGUAAAACCCUGUUGGUAGAGAAGAAAGUGCGUGAGAGUAACUGUUCACGUGUCGACGGUAUAGAAGCAGAAAGCAAAGGCUAACUACGUGCCAGCAGCCGCGGGAAUACGUAGGUGGCAAGCGUUAUCCGGAUUUAUUGGGCGUAAAGGGAACGCAGGCGGUCUUUUAAGUCUGAUGUGAAGGCCUUCGGCUUAACCGGAGUAGUGCAUUGGACACUGGGAGCCUUUAGUGCAGUAGAGGCGAGUGCAACUCCCUGUGUAGC
rnacentral:rRNA from 1 species